GAGCGGAUGCUUUCGUUUGCAGUUGUGAGUAUUGGGGCGCUCCCAGUUGUUGCGUAAGCGCGUGCAAUAGUUCAAACGGUGAAUCUCCUGUUCAUGUGUCAUGUAAAUUGUACGGAGAAGGCAAUGGCACGGUAUUUCCGACUUUCUAUCCCGCAGCUGCGCUCCCAGGUGUGCUCCAGCCGAAAGCGGUCUGCAGCGGUGAGCCUGGGUGAGGAGUACAAGCGCAAAUCUGGGGAUGAUUAGUCAUCGGCACAUGCUUCAUUCACCUGCGAUCACUCCCAAUGAAGCUAGACUGAGUUUGACGCAUAUACUGUUCGCAGAAAUCUUCCACUACGAACAAUUUUUCCAGUAACGGUGCAGGUGGACCGAGAAUCUCUCGAACACUAUCGGCGUCGCCAUUUGGCGAAGACGACUUAAGAAUGCACAGCCGCACGAUUCCCCUCUUCAUUCUCUGCUUGGUCAUCGCGGUUGCUGCUCCAGCAGCCGCCAGUAGCCAGCUGGGACCCGUGACUGGCUACAUAUCAAACCUCUUCAACAAUAUUAUGGCGGUUGUCGACGCGGGAAUAAAGGAAGGUCUGGAGCUGGUGGGCCUUCGAAAGUCCACACCGACUCCGACACCUGCUGAUGUGACUACUGAGUAACCCCGAGCCAGCUAAUAAAUGAAAUGCAACUAAUUUCGGCUCUUUACCUCCUACGUUGUUUCUUCGGCAUAUGAGUUAGCUGGUCUAUAAACCUCAAUACUAGUGGACAA
rnacentral:lncRNA from 1 species